rnacentral:rRNA from 1 species
GUUCCAUGUGAACGACACUUGCACAUGGGUUAGUCUAUCCUAAGGGACGGGGGAAGCCCGUGUGAUAGCGCUCUAAGCGCGCACUCCGAAAGGGAAUCGGGUUAAAAUUCCUGAACCGGGACGUNCCGGGACGUGGCGGCUGACGACAACGUUAGGGAGUUCAGAGACGUUGGCAGGGGGCCCGGAAAGAGUUAUCUUUUCUGUUUAACAACCUGCCCACCCUGGAAACGGCUCAGCCGGAGGUAGGGUAUAGUGGCUGGAAGAG